rnacentral:rRNA from 2 species
UUUGAACAUCGACAUUUCGAACGCACAUUGCGGUCCGUGGAGAAACAUCCAGGACCACUCCUGUCUGAGGGCCG